rnacentral:rRNA from 1 species
CGAGUCCGGCAAGCUACGGCUUGUCAGUGAUGGCGAUCAUACUUCCCAGAAAAGCCCGGACUAUCGUAAAUUCUAAAUACUUGUACCCGAAACCGACACAGGUGGGGAGGUUGAGAAAACUAAGGGGCGCGAGAUAACUCUCUCUAAGGAACUCGGCAAAAUGACCCCGUAACUUCGGGAGAAGGGGUGCCACCGCAAGGUGGUCGCAGUAAAGAGGCCCAGGCGACUGUUUACCAAAAACACAGGUCUCCGCCAAGUCGCAAGACGCAGUAUGGGGGCUGACGCCUGCCCAGUGCCGGAAGGUUAAGGAAGUUGGUCAGGUGUAAUCUAAAGCUGACGACUGAAGCCCCGGUGAACGGCGGCCGUAACUAUAACGGUCCUAAGGUAGCGAAAUUCCUUGUCGGGUAAGUUCCGACCCGCACGAAAGGCGUAACGAUCUGGGCACUGUCUCGGAGAGAGACUCGGCGAAAUAGGAUUGUCUGUGAAGAUACGGACUACCUGCACCUGGACAGAAAGACCCUAUGAAGCUUUACUGUAGCCUGGAAUUGGCUUCGGGCUUCGCUUGCGCAGGAUAGGUGGGAGGCGUUGACAUUCCCCUUGUGGGGGGAAUUGAGCCAACGGUGAGAUACCACUCUAGCGAGGCUAGAAGUCUAACUUUCGCCCAUUAUCUGGGGAAAGAACAGUUUCAGGUGGGCAGUUUGACUGGGGCGGUCGCCUCCUAAAUGGUAACGGAGGCGUACAAAGGUUUCCUCAGGCUGGUUGGAAAUCAGCCAUAGAGUGCAAAAGCAGAAGGAAGCUUGACUGCGAGACCUACAAGUCGAGCAGGGACGAAAGUCGGUUUUAGUGAUCCGACGGCGCCGCGUGGAAGGGCCGUCGCUCAACGGAUAAAAGUUACUCUAGGAUAACAGGCUGAUCUCCCCCAAGAGUCCACAUCGACGGGGAGGUUUGGCACCUCGAUGUCGGCUCAUCGCAACCUGGGGCGGAAGUACGUCCCAAGGGUUGGGCUGUUCGCCCAUUAAAGCGGUACGUGAGCUGGGUUCAGAACGUCGUGAGACAGUUCGGUCCAUAUCCGGUGCAGGCGCAAGAGCAUUGAGAGGAGCCUUCCUUAGUACGAGAGGACCGGGAAGGACGCACCACUGGUGUACCUGUUAUCGUGCCAACGGUAGACGCAGGGUAGCCAAGUGCGGAGUGGAUAACCGCUGAAAGCAUCUAAGUGGGAAGCCCACCUCAAGAUGAUUGCUCUCACAGGGUUAACCUGGUAAGGUCACGGGCAGAACACCCGUUAUUAGGCACUAGGUGGAAGUUCAGCAAUGAAUGUAGCCAAGGUGUACUAACAGACCGAGGGCUUGAU